rnacentral:rRNA from 1 species
GAUGAACGCUGGCGGCGUGCUUAACACAUGCAAGUCGAGCGAGAAGUUUUGAAAAGAUUCUUCGGAUGAAAUUUAAAAUGGAAAGCGGCGGACGGGUGAGUAACGCGUAGGCAACCUGCCCCAUACAAAGGGAUAGCAUUUGGAAACGAAUAUUAAUACCUUAUGAAACUUAACUAGUGCAUGCUAGGUAGGUCAAAGAUUUAUCGGUAUGGGAUGGGCCUGCGUCUGAUUAGCUAGUUGGUGAGGUAACGGCUCACCAAGGCGACGAUCAGUAGCCGACCUGAGAGGGUGAACGGCCACAUUGGAACGGAGACACGGUCCAAACUCCUACGGGAGGCAGCAGUGGGGAAUAUUGCACAAUGGGGGAAACCCGGAUGCAGCAACGCCGCGUGAAAGAUGAAGGCCUUUGGGUCGUAAAGUUCUGUUCUAGGUGAUGAAAACUGACAGUAACCUAGGAGAAAGCCCCGGCUAACUCCGUG